GGCGCCGUAGCCAAGCGGCAAGGCAGGAGUCUGCAAAACUCCGAUCGGCGGUUCGAAUCCGCCCGGCGCCUCCA
rnacentral:tRNA from 1 species